CCUACGGGAGGCAGCAGUGAGGAAUAUUGGUCAAUGGGCGCUAGCCUGAACCAGCCAAGUAGCGUGAAGGAUGACUGCCCUCUGGGUUGUAAACUUCUUUUAUAUGGGAAUAAAGUGCAGUAUGUAUACUGCUUUGCGUGUAUCUUAUGAAUAAGGAUCGGCUAACUCCGUGCCAGCAGCCGCGGUAAUACGGAGGAUCCGCGCGUUAUCUGGAUUUAUUGGGUUUAAAGGGAGCGUAGGCGGGUUGUUAAGUCAGUUGUGAAAGUUUGCGGCUCAACCGUAAAAUUGCAGUUGAUACUGGCAGCCUUGAGUACAGUAGAGGUAGGCGGAAUUCGUGGUGUAGCGGUGAAAUGCUUAGAUAUCACGAAGAACUCCGAUUGCGAAGGCAGCCUGCUGGACUGUAACUGACGCUGAUGCUCGAAAGUGUGGGUAUCAAACAGGAUUAGAUACCCUGGUAGUC
rnacentral:rRNA from 1 species